GACGAACGCUGGCGGCGUGCUUAACACAUGCAAGUCGAACGGAAAGGCCCUGCUUUUGUGGGGUGCUCGAGUGGCGAACGGGUGAGUAACACGUGAGUAACCUGCCCUUGACUUUGGGAUAACUUCAGGAAACUGGGGCUAAUACCGGAUAGGAGCUCCUGCUGCAUGGUGGGGGUUGGAAAGUUUCGGCGGUUGGGGAUGGACUCGCGGCUGAUCAGCUUGUUGGUGGGGUAGUGGAUUACCAAGGCUUUGACGGGUAGCCGGCCUGAGAGGGUGACCGGCCACAUUGGGACUGAGAUACGGCCCAGACUCCUACGGGAGGCAGCAGUGGGGAAUCUUGCACAAUGGGAGGAAGCCUGAUGCAGCAACGCCGCGUGCGGGAUGACGGCCUUCGGGUUGUAAACCGCUUUCGCCUGUGACGAAGCGUGAGUGACGGUAAUGGGUAAAGAAGCACCGGCUAACUACGUG
rnacentral:rRNA from 1 species